CUUUUUGGAUCUUACGUCAGAACAUUUGGAUCGUUUCGACGACUGCUGCCACGCUGAUGUCAAUUUUUAAAUUUUGCCGCAACCCGCCAGAUGUCAUCAGAAAAAUCGAUAAGUCAGUGCUGCCAUUUCAGUCUGGUUCCGUAUUUUUUGUUUGUUGAAGCCUACUCACAUCUAAGAAAUCUGUGAGCCAUGGCCUUUUUCACCACGGUACUCAGAUGAACUAUUGAAAUACCAGAAAAAAUACCAGUCACCCUGAGUGAAUUUGAACAAACGCUUGCUAGACGCCGCGGAAAAAUUAAAAAAUGUAAUCCGUUAAUGUGUUUGUACAGAAUCUAAAAAACCACGCCAAAAACGACUGCACGGGGAUCGUCCAGUAUUGUAAGAGAAUCUGGGGGAGAAAGCGCUCGUCAUGAUCAAAGAUUGCUAUAGUAGCAAGACGGCUUGGAAGAGCCUUAAACAAGUUCUACAACAAGGCAAAUCAGAAGCGGGGGAUCCUGGGAGAACCCUAUCGAAAAGAAGAAUGACUUCACUCCUUAUAUGGACUUCUUGCCGAACGUGUCCUAGCGAAGAGAAUAACAGAAAAACUAGACGAGCUCUUCGCUGGACUCCAUAACCAACAGCAACGCCGAGGGUGGAUGUAAAAAUUCCUUUAUAAGUACAUAAGUUACUCCAUUGAUGAAGAUUUUAUAAUAUUAAGAUAAUUAUGUGUUUGGUUUUAUAGAGGGGAGGGAAAAAGUCGCCAACUAACAUCGCUAGUACUAUAUAAUACAAAUAAAUAG